CCCUUAGAUGUUCUGGGCCGCACACGCGCUACACUGAAGGAGGCAGCGUGUACUCCUGGAUCGAAAGAUUUGGGUAACCCGCGAAUCUCCUUCGUGCUAGGGAUUGAGGUUUGCAAUUAUCCUUCAUGAACGAGGAAUUCCCAGUAAGUGCAAGUCAUAAGCUUGCGCGGACUACGUCCCUGCCCUUUGUACACACCGCCCGUCGCUACUACCGAUUGAAUGAUUUAGUGAGGACUUCGGACUGGGACCGAUGCGGCUUUCGGGCUGCGUCGGUAUUCUGGAAAGAUGUCCAAACUGUAUCAUUUAGAGGAAGUAAAAGUCGUAACA
rnacentral:rRNA from 1 species